ACACGAAGCUGGAAUCGCUAGUAAUUGCGGAUCAGAAUGCCGCGGUGAAUACGUUCCCGGGUCUUGUACACACCGCCCGUCACACCAUGGGAGUCAGUAACGCCCGAAGUCAGUGACCUAACCGGAAAGGGGGGGAGCUGCCGAAGGCGGGACGGAUGACUGGGGUGAAGUCGUAACAAGGUACC
rnacentral:rRNA from 1 species